GGCACGAUCUCGGCUCACUGCAACCUCCGCCUCCUGGGUUCACGCCAUUCUCCUGCCUCAGCCUCCCGAGUAGCUGGGACUACAAGUGCCCGCCACCACGCCCGGCUAAUUUUUUGUAUUUUUAGUAGAGAUGGAGUUUCACCAUGUUAGCCAGGAUGGUCUCGAUCUCCCGACCUCGUGAUCCACCCGUCUCGGCCUCCCAAAGUGCUGGGAUCACAGGCAUGACUACCACGCCCAGCCUCCAAAUCUU
rnacentral:lncRNA from 1 species